rnacentral:rRNA from 1 species
UAUCCUACGGGGCGCAGCAGUGGGGGAUAUUGCACAAUGGGGGAAACCCUGAUGCAGCGACGCCGCGUGGGUGAAGAAGCGCCUCGGCGCGUAAAGCCCUGUCAGCAGGGAAGAAAAUGACGGUACCUGAAGAAGAAGCCCCGGCUAACUACGUGCCAGCAGCCGCGGUAAUACGUAGGGGGCAAGCGUUAUCCGGAUUUACUGGGUGUAAAGGGAGCGUAGACGGCGAAGAAAGUCUGGAGUGAAAGCCCGCGGCUUAACCGCGGAACUGCUUUGGAAACUUUUUGGCUGGAGUACCGGAGAGG